UGGAGACAGGUGCUGCAUGGCUGUCGUCAGCUCGUGUCGUGAGAUGUUGGGUUAAGUCCCGCAACGAGCGCAACCUUGCCUUAGUUGCCAGCAGUUCGGCUGGGCACUCUAAAGGGACUGCCGGUGUCAAACCGGGAGGAAGGUGGGAUGACGUCAAGUCCUCAUGGCCUUUAUGGCCAGGGCUACACACGUACUACAAUGGCCGGUACAAAGGGCAGCGACAUUGCGAGAUGGAGCGAAUCCCGAAAAGCCGGUCUCAGUUCGGAUUGCAGGCUGCAAUUCGCCUGCAUGAAGUCGGAAUCGCUAGUAAUCGCAGGUCAGCAUACUGCGGUGAAUACGUUCCCGGGCCUU
rnacentral:rRNA from 1 species